rnacentral:rRNA from 1 species
UGUAGCUUGACAUUGGGUCUUGGUACUACAUGUACAGGAUAGGUGGGAGGCUUUGAAACCAGGACGCCAGUUUUGGCGGAGCCAUCCUUGGGAUACCACCCUUGUAGUACUGGGACUCUAACCAUAGGCCAUGAAUCUGGUCUUGGGACACUGUCAGGUGGGCAGUUUGACUGGGGCGGUCGCCUCCCAAAAGGUAACGGAGGCGCUCAAAGGUUCUCUCAGUACGGUCGGAAAUCGUACGUAGAGUGUAAAGGCAAAAGAGGGCUUGAUUGCAAGACAUACAGGUCGAGCAAGGAUGAAAAUCGGACUUAGUGAUCCGGUGGUUCUGCGUGGAAGGGCCAUCGCUCAACGGAUAAAAGCUACCCUGGGGAUAACAGGCUUAUCUCCCCC